GCUGGCGGCAUGGAUUAGGCAUGCAAGUCGAACGAGAAGCUCUAGCUUGCUAGAGUGGAUAGUGGCGAAAGGGUGAGUAACGCGUGAGUAAUCUGCCUCUAAGUUGGGAAUAGCCUCGGGAAACCGGGAUUAAUACCGAAUGUGAACUUCUGUCGCAUGUCAGAAAGUUUAAAGAUUUAUCGCUUAGAGAUGAGCUCGCGUCCCAUUAGCUAGUUGGUAAGGUAACGGCUUACCAAGGCAACGAUGGGUAGCUGGUCUGAGAGGAUGACCAGCCACACUGGGACUGAGACACUGCCCAGACUCCUACGGGAGGCUGCAGUCGAGAAUCUUCCGCAAUGGGCGAAAGCCUGACGGAGCAAUGCCGCGUGCAGGAUGAAGGCCUUUGGGUUGUAAACUGCUGUCACCAGGGAAGAACAAAAUGACGGUACCUGGAGAGGAAGCACCGGCUAACUACGUGCCAGCAGCCGCGGUAAUACGUAGGGUGCAAGCGUUGUUCGGAUUUAUUGGGCGUAAAGGGUCCGCAGGGGGUCUAUUAAGUCUGAUGUGAAAUCUCAUGGCUCAACCACGGAACUGCAUUGGAAACUGGUGAACUAGAGUACUGGAGAGGUAAGUGGAAUUCCUGGUGUAGCGGUGGAAUGCGUAGAUAUCAGGAGGAACACCGAGAGCGAAGGCAGCUCACUGGCCAAUUACUGACCCUCAGGGACGAAAGCUGGGGUAGCAAACAGGAUUAGAUACCCUGGUAGUCCAUGCCGUAAACGUUGUAUACUAGAUGUGGGAGGAUUAAGCCCCUCCUGUGUCCAAGCUAACGUGAUAAGUAUACCGCCUGGGGAGUACGGCGGCAACGCUAAAACUCAAAGGAAUAGACGGGGACCCGCACAAGUGGUGGAGCAUGUGGUUUAAUUCGAAAAUACGCGAAGAACCUUACCUAGCCUUGACAUUGAUUGAACGGACCAGAGAUGGACCGGUGCCCUUCGGGGAACAUGAAAACAGGUGCUGCACGGCUGUCGUCAGCUCGUGUCGUGAGAUGUUGGGUUAAGUCCCGCAACGAGCGCAACCCUCGUCCUUAGUUGCCAGCAGGUUAAGCUGGGCACUUUAAGGAGACUGCCUUCGCAAGGAGGAGGAAGGUGAGGACGACGUCAAGUCAUCAUGGCCCUUACGGCUAGGGCUACACACGUGCUACAAUGGGGCGUACAGAGUGUUGCGAUACCGCGAGGUGGAGCCAAUCACUUAAAGCGUCUCUCAGUUCGGAUUGGAGUCUGCAACUCGACUCCAUGAAGCUGGAAUCACUAGUAAUCGUAGAUCAGCAAUGCUACGGUGAAUACGUUCCCGGGUCUUGUACUCACGCCCGUCACACCAUGGGAGUUGAUUUCACCCGAAAUUGGGAAGCUAACCUUCGGGGGGCUACCACUUACGGUGGAAUUAGCGACUGG
rnacentral:rRNA from 1 species